GUGGGGAAUAUUGGGCAAUGGGCGCAAGCCUGACCCAGCAACGCCGCGUGAAGGAAGAAGGUUUUCGGAUCGUAAACUUCUAUCCUUGGUGAAGAUAAUGACGGUAGCCAAGAAGGAAGCCCCGGCUAACUACGUGCCAGCAGCCGCGGUAAUACAUAGGGGGCAAGCGUUGUCCGGAAUGAUUGGGCGUAAAGGGCGCGUAGGCGGCCUGGUAAGUCUGGAGUGAAAGUCCUGCUUUUAAGGUGGGAAUUGCUUUGGAUACUGUCGGGCUUGAGUGCAGGAGAGGUAAGCGGAAUUCCCGGUGUAGCGGUGAAAUGCGUAGAGAUCGGGAGGAACACCAGUGGCGAAGGCGGCUUACUGGACUGUAACUGACGCUGAGGCGCGAAAGUGUGGGGAGCAAACAGGAUUAGAUACCCCGGUAGUCC
rnacentral:rRNA from 1 species